rnacentral:misc_RNA from 1 species
GAUGAAGAACGUAGCGAAAUGCGAUACGUAAUGUGAAUUGCAGAAUUCAGUGAAUCAUCGAAUCUUUGAACGCAUAUUGCGCUCUCUGGUAUUCCGGAGAGCAUGCUUGUUUGAGUAUCAGUAAACACCUCAACUUCCAUAUCUUUUUUGAAAUGGGAGUUGGACUUGAGUGAUCCCAACGCUUUUCCUCACCGAAAAGUGGCGGGUUACUUGAAAUGCAGGUGCAGCUGGACUUUUCUCUGAGCUUAUAAGCAUAUCUAUUUAGUCUGCCUAAAAAACAGAUUAUUACCUUUGCUGCAGCUAACAUAAAGGAGAUUAGUUCUUGUGCUGACUGAUGCAGGAUUCACAAAGACAGGCUUCGGCCGACUUUGUAAACUCGAUCUCAAAUCAAGUAAGACUACCCGCUGAACUUAAGCAUAUCAAUAAGCGGAGGA